UACGGGGGGAGCAAGCGUUGUUCGGAUUUACUGGGCGUAAAGGGCGCGUAGGCGGCGCAACAAGUCACUUGUGAAAUCUCCGGGCUUAACCCGGAGCGGCCAAGUGAUACUGUCGUGCUAGAGUGCGGAAGGGGCUACUGGAAUUCUCGGUGUAGCGGUGAAAUGCGUAGAUAUCGAGAGGAACACCUGUGGCGAAGGCGGGUAGCUGGGCCGACACUGACGCUGAGGCGCGAAAGCUAGGGGAGCGAACGGG
rnacentral:rRNA from 1 species